UUUAGCAUGCAAGUCGACCGGUAGAAUUUCAUCGGACUUUUGAGAGUGGCGAACGGGUGAGUAACACGUAGGUAAUCUGUCUUAGGGGUUGGGGAUAGCCGAUGGGGACAUGGGGUAAUACCGAAUAGCUCCCUUUCAGCACAAGCGGGAAGGGGGAAAGGCGCUUAGGCGCCGCCUUAGGGUGAGCCUGCGGUCCAUUAGUUAGUUGGUGGGGUAAGAGCCUACCAAGGCAGCGAUGGAUAGCCGGCCUGAGAGGGUGAACGGCCACACUGGGACUGAGACACGGCCCAGAGUCCUACGGGAGGCAGCAGCUAAGAAUCUUCCGCAAUGGGCGAAAGCCUGACGGAGCGAUGCCGCGUGAGUGAAGAAGGCGGGAACGUUGUAAAACUCUUUUCUCGGGGAGGAAUAAGGAGGGGAGGAAAUGCCCCUUUGAUGACGCGAACCGAGGAAUAAGCCCCGGCUAAUUACGUGCCAGCAGCCGCGGUAACACGUAAGGGGCGAGCGUUGUUCGGAAUUAUUGGGCGUAAAGGGCGUGUAGGCGGCGAUGUUAGCCUGGUGUGAAAG
rnacentral:rRNA from 1 species